GGUUAAGCGACUAAGCGUACACGGUGGAUGCCCUGGCAGUCAGAGGCGAUGAAGGACGUGCUAAUCUGCGAUAAGCGUCGGUAAGGUGAUAUGAACCGUUAUAACCGGCGAUUUCCGAAUGGGGAAACCCAGUGUGUUUCGACACACUAUCAUUAACUGAAUCCAUAGGUUAAUGAGGCGAACCGGGGGAACUGAAACAUCUAAGUACCCCGAGGAAAAGAAAUCAACCGAGAUUCCCCCAGUAGCGGCGAGCGAACGGGGAGCAGCCCAGAGCCUGAAUCAGUGUGUGUGUUAGUGGAAGCGUCUGGAAAGGCGCGCGAUACAGGGUGACAGCCCCGUACACAAAAAUGCACAUAUUGUGAGCUCGAUGAGUAGGGCGGGACACGUGGUAUCCUGUCUGAAUAUGGGGGGACCAUCCUCCAAGGCUAAAUACUCCUGACUGACCGAUAGUGAACCAGUACCGUGAGGGAAAGGCGAAAAGAACCCCGGCGAGGGGAGUGAAAAAGAACCUGAAACCGUGUACGUACAAGCAGUGGGAGCACGCUUCGGCGUGUGACUGCGUACCUUUUGUAUAAUGGGUCAGCGACUUAUAUUCUGUAGCAAGGUUAACCGAAUAGGGGAGCCGAAGGGAAACCGAGUCUUAACUGGGCGUUAAGUUGCAGGGUAUAGACCCGAAACCCGGUGAUCUAGCCAUGGGCAGGUUGAAGGUUGGGUAACACUAACUGGAGGACCGAACCGACUAAUGUUGAAAAAUUAGCGGAUGACUUGUGGCUGGGGGUGAAAGGCCAAUCAAACCGGGAGAUAGCUGGUUCUCCCCGAAAGCUAUUUAGGUAGCGCCUCGUGAAUUCAUCUCCGGGGGUAGAGCACUGUUUCGGCAAGGGGGUCAUCCCGACUUACCAACCCGAUGCAAACUGCGAAUACCGGAGAAUGUUAUCAUGGGAGACACACGGCGGGUGCUAACGUCCGUCGUGAAGAGGGAAACAACCCAGACCGCCAGCUAAGGUCCCAAAGUCAUGGUUAAGUGGGAAACGAUGUGGGAAGGCCCAGACAGCCAGGAUGUUGGCUUAGAAGCAGCCAUCAUUUAAAGAAAGCGUAAUAGCUCACUGGUCGAGUCGGCCUGCGCGGAAGAUGUAACGGGGCUAAACCAUGCACCGAAGCUGCGGCAGCGACGCUGAUGCGUUGUUGGGUAGGGGAGCGUUCUGUAAGCCUGCGAAGGUGUGCUGUGAGGCAUGCUGGAGGUAUCAGAAGUGCGAAUGCUGACAUAAGUAACGAUAAAGCGGGUGAAAAGCCCGCUCGCCGGAAGACCAAGGGUUCCUGUCCAACGUUAAUCGGGGCAGGGUGAGUCGACCCCUAAGGCGAGGCCGAAAGGCGUAGUCGAUGGGAAACAGGUUAAUAUUCCUGUACUUGGUGUUACUGCGAAGGGGGGACGGAGAAGGCUAUGUUGGCCGGGCGACGGUUGUCCCGGUUUAAGCGUGUAGGCUGGUUUUCCAGGCAAAUCCGGAAAAUCAAGGCUGAGGCGUGAUGACGAGGCACUACGGUGCUGAAGCAACAAAUGCCCUGCUUCCAGGAAAAGCCUCUAAGCAUCAGGUAACAUCAAAUCGUACCCCAAACCGACACAGGUGGUCAGGUAGAGAAUACCAAGGCGCUUGAGAGAACUCGGGUGAAGGAACUAGGCAAAAUGGUGCCGUAACUUCGGGAGAAGGCACGCUGAUAUGUAGGUGAGGUCCCUCGCGGAUGGAGCUGAAAUCAGUCGAAGAUACCAGCUGGCUGCAACUGUUUAUUAAAAACACAGCACUGUGCAAACACGAAAGUGGACGUAUACGGUGUGACGCCUGCCCGGUGCCGGAAGGUUAAUUGAUGGGGUCAGCGCAAGCGAAGCUCUUGAUCGAAGCCCCGGUAAACGGCGGCCGUAACUAUAACGGUCCUAAGGUAGCGAAAUUCCUUGUCGGGUAAGUUCCGACCUGCACGAAUGGCGUAAUGAUGGCCAGGCUGUCUCCACCCGAGACUCAGUGAAAUUGAACUCGCUGUGAAGAUGCAGUGUACCCGCGGCAAGACGGAAAGACCCCGUGAACCUUUACUAUAGCUUGACACUGAACAUUGAGCCUUGAUGUGUAGGAUAGGUGGGAGGCUUUGAAGUGUGGACGCCAGUCUGCAUGGAGCCGACCUUGAAAUACCACCCUUUAAUGUUUGAUGUUCUAACGUUGACCCGUAAUCCGGGUUGCGGACAGUGUCUGGUGGGUAGUUUGACUGGGGCGGUCUCCUCCUAAAGAGUAACGGAGGAGCACGAAGGUUGGCUAAUCCUGGUCGGACAUCAGGAGGUUAGUGCAAUGGCAUAAGCCAGCUUGACUGCGAGCGUGACGGCGCGAGCAGGUGCGAAAGCAGGUCAUAGUGAUCCGGUGGUUCUGAAUGGAAGGGCCAUCGCUCAACGGAUAAAAGGUACUCCGGGGAUAACAGGCUGAUACCGCCCAAGAGUUCAUAUCGACGGCGGUGUUUGGCACCUCGAUGUCGGCUCAUCACAUCCUGGGGCUGAAGUAGGUCCCAAGGGUAUGGCUGUUCGCCAUUUAAAGUGGUACGCGAGCUGGGUUUAGAACGUCGUGAGACAGUUCGGUCCCUAUCUGCCGUGGGCGCUGGAGAACUGAGGGGGGCUGCUCCUAGUACGAGAGGACCGGAGUGGACGCAUCACUGGUGUUCGGGUUGUCAUGCCAAUGGCACUGCCCGGUAGCUAAAUGCGGAAGAGAUAAGUGCUGAAAGCAUCUAAGCACGAAACUUGCCCCGAGAUGAGUUCUCCCUGACUCCUUGAGAGUCCUGAAGGAACGUUGAAGACGACGACGUUGAUAGGCCGGGUGUGUAAGCGCAGCGAUGCGUUGAGCUAACCGGUACUAAUGAACCGUGAGGCUUAACCUU
rnacentral:rRNA from 1 species